CAGUCGCCGCGGGAAUACGGAGGGUGCAAGCGUUAAUCGGAAUUACUGGGCGUAAAGCGUGCGCAGGCGGUUUGUUAAGACAGAUGUGAAAUCCCCGGGCUCAACCUGGGAACUGCAUUUGUGACUGGCAAGCUAGAGUCUGGCAGAGGGGGGUGGAAUUCCGCGUGUAGCAGUGAAAUGCGUAGAUAUGCGGAGGAACACCGAUGGCGAAGGCAGCCCCCUGGGCCAACACUGACGCUCAUGCACGAAAGCGUGGGGAGCAAACAGGAUUAGAUACCCCUGUAGUCCCUGUCUCUUAUAA
rnacentral:rRNA from 1 species